UCGGGAAUAAGGAGCAGAAUGGGGAUUUGAACCUAAGUCAUUCUGAUUCCAAACCCUCCCUUGUCUCUCAUUCCCUCUUGUUUCCAUACCAACCAGGAGCAUUCUUUCUGAAUCCCCUUCCAAGACUUCCAGACCCUGUCUCUGAGGGCACAGCACUGGAGGUGUCUGGUGCUUGGGGAAUGUCUCCACACUGUACCAGCUCCAGUGUGGCUAUUGUGUCUCCUGAAGGGGAAGCCUUCAGAAACCUGGGGUAGAGUAACAAGACCCUGGCAGUGCUGAGGAGUGGAGCUAGACAACUCCUUCCAGAGAUGGCUUCCCAAAUUUCCUCUUCAGAAACAAACGUUCAUGACCCUCACGGGACGGAGGGCCUGGGCGCCAGGCAGAGCACAGGACCUGAGCCCAUCGACGCUGCUACCCAUAUUCAUGAAGAUGUGCAACAGCCCACAGGGUCAUGGAACCUCUCAUCACGAGACGAAAGAAAAUGUAAGACAAACCCACAGUGAUAUACUGCCUCACCCAUCAGGAUGGCGACUGUUACCAGAAGGGAGAAGAUGACAAGUGCUAGCUAGCAUCGUUGAUUGAAAGGAACAGAGCCUCAAGUACCAUGUGGAAACUAUAAACCCAGGCCGACAUUGAGGAAAACAUGGUGGACCCUGAAGAAUUAAAAAUAGAGCUGGCAUAUGAUA